AUGGAAAACGUUUAAUUACAUUGGCGUUGGACAAAAGUCAAGAUUUUUCCAUUACAAUAUCUUUGUUUGGAGCGCUGCUGCUGUCCUUCUUUUAAUCACAAGUUUGGUUGAUUUCAUAUUCAAAGAGUAUUCAGAAGCUGAGAACUGGAUACCUGGUUUCGAAACUCGUUUCUGUUGGAUUAACGUAUACAGUUGGUCGGCAAUGAUCUACUAUUAUGGGCCAAUGUCAAUGUUGUUAAUAUUUAACACAACUUUUUUUGUUAAAACCGCAAGGCGCAUAUUUGUCCAGAAUAGAAAAAAUAGAUGUCAGCUAAAGAAAUCGGAAGGGCAACGUAAUCUGAGGAAUCUGACGAAUUUCAGCAUGUUUUUCCGUUUGUUUGUCAUCGUGGGCGCUCUCUGGAUUCUUGAAAUCGCAUCUUAUAUAUAUGCACGCCUUGCAAGAAACUCAACGGGAAUUUUUAUUGCUGAUGUUAUUACCUCUGGACAGGGUGUAAUAUUAUUUGCAGCAACAAUCUUAAAACGGGACGUGCUAAAGUCUCUAUCAGAUCGGUGAGUACCCUUGCAAUUAAAUAAAUAGCGAAUGUAUUCUUGUUUCUUCUUCCCAGAAUUCUAAGAAGAAAAUCUCAGAAUCAUGCAUCCGGAACAGAGAAAGCAUUGUGUCCAUCAUUAUAAUAAUAAAAACAUAUUUCGAUUAUUAUUUCACUUCGCAAAAAUAUGCAUCUUGUUGGCCUUAAUAAAUAUUUUUGUAUAUGAAGAAAGUAGAAA